UACGAAGGGGGCUAGCGUUGUUCGGAAUUACUGGGCGUAAAGCGCGCGCAGGCGGCUAUCCAAGUCAGUGGUGAAAGCCCGGAGCUCAACUCCGGAACUGCCAUUGAGACUGUUUAGCUUGAGGAUGAGAGAGGUGAGUGGAAUUCCCAGUGUAGAGGUGAAAUUCGUAGAUAUUGGGAAGAACACCGGUGGCGAAGGCGGCUCACUGGCUCAUAUCUGACGCUCAGGCGCGACAGCGUGGGGAUCAAACAGG
rnacentral:rRNA from 1 species